ensembl:lncRNA
AGCUUCUGGGUUGUAGUAAAUGCUCAGUGCAAUGUGCCCAUUUCUGGGUUUCAGUUUCUUAGCAUAUGGAGAAAAUGCUCUCUGAUGGCUAUUUCUGUCCCAAUGAAUAACAUGACUAUUAUCAUAGAAGCAGACUUUCUACACUGUGCAUAGCUCAUAUAGUUGACACAGAAAUAUAGGUCUCGGAGUUCUCAUCGUGGCACAGUGGUUAACGAAUCCAACUAGGAACCAUGAGGUUGUGGGUUUGGCCAUGGCCUCAUUCAGUAGGUUAAGGAUUGGGCAGGCGUUGCUGUGAGCUGUGGUGUUGGUCGAAGACGCGGCUUGGAUCCCACGUUACUGUGGCUGUGGUGUAGGCCAGUGGCUACAGCUCUGAUUCAACCCCUAGCCUGGGAACCUCCAUAUGCCUCAAAAGCAGCCCUAGAAAAGGCAAAAAGACAAAAAAAAAAAUCGGGUCUCUUUUUACAUGGCCCCUUCUUCCUUUCCUUGGUUCUCUCCCUCCCACCUAGAAUAUCCAUGAUUGUCAUAUACCUUCUUGCCUUUCUUGAGGUAUUAAGUCCAGAAUCAAAAUAUAACUGUCCUCUUUCAGACAUCUGACCUUCUCCUCAUCUGCACACAUAUCUGAGAAACAACUACUUCUCUGAUCAACUAAUUCACAUUAGGAUGGUAACAGUUGACAAUGAAAUUGAACUUCAUCACUUCAAAUACAAAUGUUUUUAAAAAGAGACGCUUUAAAAAGUUCCUGCUGUGGUACAACAGGAUUAAGAAUGUCUGCCGUGCCAGGACGAAGGUUCAAUCCCUGAUCCAGCAGAGUGGGUUAAAGGAUCCAGUGUUGCCACAGCCAUGGUGUAAGUCACAACUGUUGGCUUGUGAUCCCUGGCCUAGGAACUCCAUAUGCCACAGGGCAGCCAAAAAAUAUAACAUAAAAUAAAAUACACAUUAAAACAUAGACCAACUGAAUAAACCUCUAAUGGAAUUUCAGACAAAACAGGUAGGUGGGGAAAACACUGUAUGUCAGGCAUAACCAUUGAAACCCAACAUAAAGAAGAAAAGGAAAGAAAUGAGACUCUUUCUGCAUUUGAGCAAUAGUCUAGAAAGGCAGAUGACUUGUCAGAUAAAGAUAACUGCCAUAAAAUUUGCUAUAAUAAUGUUAUCUACAAAAUGUUAUGCAAACAAACAAAGGAACAAAAAUGAUUAGGUCUGCCUUGGGGAGUGAUGAGAUGAGUGAGCAGAAGGCAUUAACAAAAGGACAUUUCCUCUGUAUUUCUCUUUUUAGUUGUGUUAAGUCACAAAUACAAUAUUUGCUAUAAGUUAAAUAAUACAGAAGGUGUAUUUAAAAACUUAAUAAUUACUCCUUUCAAGAUUUCCAUGACCAUUUGAUAGAGUGACUCCUGGGAUACACUGCUGGAGACACACAGGUACAGAGACACAGGCGCAGGGUAUUUGGCUAAGUAAUUACGCAAGGAGCAGAAGUGUGCAUAAGCUUAGCUACUUUGGGGUAAGAAAGAAGUAAUAUAAAAUUAAAAAAUAAACAUACAUCUUCAUAUGUGUUUUUCAAAAAGAAACACAGAAAGAUAAGCCAUAAACUACUAAGGGUAUAUGGAUGGGUAACAGUGGGGUGGGUGGUAUUGGAAGGGACUGAGCCUUCUCUGGAUAAAUCUCUCUUUAUAUUCAUAUAUUUUACAUAUUCAGAAGAUAAAAUGAAUCAAAAAGGAUGGAAAGAAACAAACCCUAAAACUAAAUACAAACAGAGAAAAAUGAACCUUGCUGUAUACCAAAUUGAUAACAUAAUGACACCAAAAAAUUGAAGCAAUUUUGAAACACAGAACUUCAACUACACACCUGAGUUAAGAUAUAUUCUGAGUGCAACAACCACCACGAAAACUGCAAAGAAAUCUUGAGCUUUAUUUAGUAGGCUUAUUAUCAUUAGUGUUAUCGCUGUUAUUCUCAAAUUAUUUUGUAUAAUAUUGUAGGAUAGAGAAAAUGUGAAAACUUACUGAAAUGGUUGGAAGUCAGUAUUUUCACUGCAAGAGAAGGGAACUCAAACAAAGAAUGAGAUAAGAUGUAGUAGAGAGCAUAAUGGUCCCCAAGAUGUCCAUACACUAAUCCCCAAACCUGUGACUAUGUUACCUUACAUAGCAAAAGAGACAUGCAGAAGUGAUUAAGGAUACAGGCCUUAGAAUAGAGCUGUUCUUUACUGUCUGGGUGGGCUCAGUCUAAUCAUGUGAGUGCUUAAAAGCGAGACAUUUUAAGGCUCUGGCCAGAGAGGGAGAUAAAAGAAUGAGGCAACACCACUGGCUUUGAAGGUGGAAGGAGGAAGAAGGAAAAGGAAGAGGAAGAGAAAAAGAAGGAGGAGGAGCAAGGCGGAAUAGGAGGAGGAAAAGAAGAGAAAGGAGGGGGAGGAGGAAGAGAGGGGGAGGAGAAGAAGAAGAGGGAGAAAAGGAGUAAAGGGGAAGAAGGAGAAGGGGAGGGUGGGAGGGGAGGGGAUGAGGAGGGGGAAGAGGUGGGAGGGGGGAUGAGAGGAGGAAAGUGAGUGAGGGGCAGCGGGAAAAGGGGAGGAGGAGGGAGAGGAGGAGGGAGGAAGAGGAGGAGGGGAAAGAAGGGAGGGGAAUGGGGAGAGGAGGAUGAAGAAGGGGUGAGAAGGGGGAGGAAGAGGGACGGAAAGAAGAUGAUGAAAAUGACUCACAAAUUUAAACUGGUGUAUUCUACAAGAAAUUACUAUUAAAUAUGAUACAUGUAUGAAUGUGUGUGUGCACAUUUGUGUAGGAUGUCUAGCGUCCAGAUACUGGUUUCUAAAAAACACUGACCACCAAAAAAUCACCAGGGUUUCUUGAAGAAAUGACCAAUUCAGGUCGUGGGCAGGAAAUAUCCAAAGUGAGCCGGGAACGUCUUGUUCCAGAAAGCAAGGAAAGCAUGUAGCCUCGAAUUUGGG